rnacentral:rRNA from 1 species
AUGAAGGGUUUCGGCUCGUAAAACACUGUUAUAAGAGAAGAAUGUCAGUGAGAGUAACUGCUCAUUGAGUGACGGUAUCUUAUCAGAAAGGGACGGCUAAAUACGUGCCAGCAGCCGCGGUAAUACGUAUGUCCCAAGCGUUAUCCGGAUUUAUUGGGCGUAAAGCGAGCGCAGGCGGUUAUUUAAGUCUGAUGUGAAAGCCUACGGCUUAACCGUAGAAUUGCAUCGGAAACUGGAUGACUUGAGUGCAGUAGAGGAGAGUGGAACUCCAUGUGUAGCG